UGCAAGCGUCGUGCGAGGGGCUGCGGUAAGACGUAGGGGGCGAGGGUUGUCCGGAAUUAUUGGGCGUAAAGGGGUCGGAGGCGGGUUGUCGCGUCGGGAGUGAAAACUCAGGGCUUAACCCUGAGCCUGCUUCCGAUACGGGCAGACUAGAGGUAUGCAGGGGAGAACGGAAUUCCUGGUGUAGCGGUGAAAUGCGCAGAUAUCAGGAGGAACACCGGUGGCGAAGGCGGUUCUCUGGGCAUUACCUGACGCUGAGGAGCGAAAGUGUGGGGAGCGAACAGGAUUAGAUACCCUAGUAGUC
rnacentral:rRNA from 1 species